rnacentral:rRNA from 1 species
CAGCCGCCGCGGUAAUACGUAGGUGGCAAGCGUUGUCCGGAAUUAUUGGGCGUAAAGGGCUCGCAGGCGGUUUCUUAAGUCUGAUGUGAAAGCCCCCGGCUCAACCGGGAAGGGUCAUUGGAAACUGGGAAACUUGAGUGCAGAAGAGGAGAGUGGAAUUCCACGUGUAGCGGUGAAAUGCGUAGAGAUGUGGAGGAACACCAGUGGCGAAGGCGACUCUCUGGUCUGUAACUGACGCUGAGGAGCGAAAGCGUGGGGAGCGAACAGGAUUAGAUACCCCUGUAGUCCCUGUCUCUUAUAC